ACAAAACGGACAACCGGCCUCAACAAGGGCCCAGGUGUUAGGAAAACGGAAGGCCCCCCGGCCUCCUGCCAAGAACCCCGGGGGAGGGGGGCAUGCAAGUCCUUCUGGGAGCGGGGAAUCCUGAAGCAGGAAGUGCCCCACGUGCGCGCCUGGAGGGGAACGUGCGCGUCUCAAAGCUCUCUUAACCCUGCUGACCAGUAGGCCUGCUCCCACUGGAUCAGAUGCCUCCUAAGGCGAGAGCAGGACUGAGGCCCCACUGUGGUCGUCUCCCCACUGUGGAGCAGACACAGCUGUAUACUGCAGACGCCUGGACCGAGUAGAAAGGGAGGAAAGCCAUCGUGGCUGGACCCAGAGGAGGCCACCGUCCCAGGAGGCAGCUCUGUAUUAGGGAUAAGACGCCUGAAGAGACCGCAACGCAGCCACAUCACACACAGGCCUAGCCUCCGAGUCCCCAGGUCACUCCUGAAGUCUGACAGGGCUCCGGGACAGCGAGACAAAUUAACACAAAUGCCGGAGGGCCAGCAACCUAAUGGGAGCAUUUGUAAGAGCUUCCAAGAGCUGAGGGCUCUGGGCUUUGCCAAGACAA